GCGCAGCAGUUGCGAAAACUUGUCAAUGCACGAAAGUGUGAACGGGCUACCCCGAGUGCCGUCCGCUGAGGAUGGCUUUUCUCUGCUGUAAGAAGGCAGAGGAAUAAGGAGAGGGCAAGUCUGGUGUCAGCCGCCGCGGUAAUACCAGCUCUCCGAGUGGUAGGGAUGAUUAUUGGGCUUAAAGCGUCCGUAGCUGGCCUUUCAAGUCUCUUGUUAAAUCCAGCGAUUCAAUCGUUGGACUGCGGGAGAUACUGUUAGGCUAGGGGGCGGGAGAAGCCGACGGUAUUUCCGGGGUAGGGGUAAAAUCCUAUAAUCCUAGGGGGACCACCAGUGGCGAAGGCGUUCUGCGAGAACGGGCUCGACGGUGAGGGACGAAAGCCAGGGGCGCAAACGGGAUUAGAUACCCCGGUAGUCC
rnacentral:rRNA from 1 species